rnacentral:lncRNA from 1 species
CUGUUAUCAUUUGCAUCAUAAGCUCUCCCACCAGGCUUUUAUGCGAACAGGAAACGCACCUGCUGACUGUACUAGGCAUGCCAACGUCGCGCGACUACCCAAGCCCCAGUACAACCCUGGGCCAGGUGGCCAGCAUUAUUCGUGUCCCAUUCUUCGUAAACAUUCGUGAACGUUCUGACGAAGCGGAUUGUGAAACAUAGUCCUAAAAUAGGAUGGGAGUUCAAUCCAACUCCACACCAUACCUGCGCAUUUUGCCACAAACAUGACACGAAACAGUACAUAUACAUGUGCAGCAAAGGGCAUCCAUUAUGACGCUUUCCAGAGCACUUUCCUGUGCAGCGUCUUAACUCCAGCAUGCCUGUAACAGCGGCCCAACUUCGGGCAGCUCCCCAAAUACACACAUCGACGGGCGGCAUCUAAAUCCCGGGCUCCAUGCUGGCACGCAUCAUGGCCACUGCGCUGCCGUGCGAGCUCAUGAAUAAUCCCUUCGUGAUCACCACCACUGCCACCAGCUUGGACCUGAAGAAUUUUAGAGAAGGCAACAACGAAAAGCAACCACUGCUGUCGCAGGCGGUCAGCAUGCGAGCAUCAACUACGAUACCCGCCGUGAGGUGACUAUCAAAUACCGCAAUCCACUUCCCGAGCCGUCACUUCCACCUUAAGGAGGCUAUCAUAUGCUUUUCAGACAACAAUCCUUCACAGCCUCACCUCCCAUGCAAAUCGAGUUCUGAAGCGCCAGCGCACAGCCAACCCAGUCCCGGUCGGGCCGGCAGGCGCAUGCAGGGCUGCAACAUCCAGCGGCGGGGGGUCGCCGUCCACAGCAUUCAUCAUGUAAUCAAAUGCAUGUUGCCACGGCAGCACUUUUCCUUUUGUGCGCCCCGCCCCGCCCCGCCCCGCUUAUUAUUACCCACUGUUAGCGAGCAUCAUAAACGUCACAGCGACAUGUGUCGCUCUACGGGGUCCCCGCCCUCUUUUGCUGUGCACUCGAGGCGCUUACCGAAGACAGCCACACCAUCCGACCAGCCGCAUCGGAGACACAGCAGCCGCCACGACCGUUAACCCCUGCCUCAAAAAGCUUCUUUCCCACCACCCCCCCGAUAGUGCCGUCCCUGUGUGUAUUUGGUGCUGUAGACCUCAACGGAGUCCGCACCAAGGAGCCCAGGAGCACCAAAAAUGCAUGGGUGCCCCCUAACCCGCAGUAAAAGCUCACCGCGCAGCUGGUUUUAUGAUUUGCGCGAAUGAAAAAAUAGUAAGACGUCAUAACACCCACCAUCGUGUCAUCACAAUCAUGGAAUCGCG